CUUCCCUUCUGCUACCUACAAAAGCCCCCUGACAUAGCACUCUUGUCAUACUGAGACUAAGGUAGAAAAAGACACUUCCAAAGGGUGUCAAUGACAAGAGAGAAAUAGACAUAGAGUGGUCACUUCAUUUACCAACCCUGGAACCGCAGACCUCUGGGCUUCCUGAUGGAGUCUCACCCAGCCUGGAGUACAGUAGUAUGAUCUGCAACCUUUGCCUCCCAGGUUCAGGCGAUUCUCCUGUCUCAGCCUCCGGAGUAUCUGGGAUUACAGGCACGUGCCACCACGCCCGGCUAAUUUUUUGUAUUUUUAGUAGAGAUGGGUUUCACCGUGUUAGCCAGGAUGGUCUCGAACUCCUGACCUCGUGAUCUACCCGCCUUGGCCUCCCAAAGUGCUGGGAUUACAGGCAUGAGCUACCGUGCUCGGCCAUGCCUGGCUAAUUUAUAUAUACAUAUAUAUAUAUAUAUAUAUUUUUUUUUUUUUUUUUUUUUUUUUGAGACAGAGUCUUGCUCUGUCACCCAGGUUGGAGUGCAGUGGCAUGAUCUCGGCUCACUGCAAGCUCGCCUCCCAGGUUCACGCCAUUCUCCUGCCUCAGCCUCCUGAGUAGCUGGGACUACAGGCGCCCGCAUGACGCCCGGCUAAUUUUUUGUAUUUUUAGUAGAGACGGGGUUUCACUGUGUUAGCCAGGAUGGUCUCGAUCUCCUGACCUCGUGAUCUGCCCACCUCAGCCUCCGAAAGUGCUGGGAUUACAGACAUGAGCCACCGCACCCAGCCUUAUAUAUAUAUUUUUUAUUAGUGAAGAGGUUUCGCCAUAUUGGCCAGACUGGUCUCGAACUCCUGACCUCAGGUGAUCCACCCACCUCGGCCUCCCAAAGUGCUGGGAUUACAGGUGGGAGCCACCGCACCCUGCCUAAAAUGCAAAAGAUUUUGAAUGGCGAGAAUGGCGACAUGAUGCCACAAGUGGAAAAUUCCACACCUGGCUGCAUGUAAUGGGUUGAAGUCAAAAUGCAGUCAAAAACUUUGUUUCAUGUACAAAAUUAUUAAAAACAUUGUAUAAAAUCACCUUCAG
rnacentral:lncRNA from 1 species